rnacentral:rRNA from 1 species
UACGUAGGGUGCGAGCGUUGUCCGGAAUUACUGGGCGUAAAGAGCUCGUAGGUGGUUUGUCGCGUUGUUCGUGAAAACCGGAGGCUUAACCUUCGGCGUGCGGGCGAUACGGGCAGACUGGAGUACUGCAGGGGAGACUGGAAUUCCUGGUGUAGCGGUGGAAUGCGCAGAUAUCAGGAGGAACACCGGUGGCGAAGGCGGGUCUCUGGGCCGAUACUGACGCUGAGGAGCGAAAGCGUGGGGAGCGAACAGG